GUAGGGGACAAGCGUUAUCCGGAUUUACUGGGCGUAAAGCGCCCGUAGGCGGCUCCAUAAGUUGGACGUGAAAGCUCCCGGCUUAACUGGGAGAGGCCGUUCAAAACUGUAGAGCUAGAGUGAGGCAGAGGAGCGCGGAAUUCCCGGUGUAGUGGUGGAAUGCGUAGAUAUCGGGAGGAACACCAGUGGCGAAAGCGGCGCUCUGGGCCUAAACUGACGCUGAGGGGCGAAAGCGUGGGGAGCGAACGGGAUUAGAUACCCCGGUAGUCCACGCCGUAAACGAUGGAGACUAGGUGUAGGUGGAUAGAACCCCAUCUGUGCCGAAGCCAACGCGUUAAGUCUCCCGCCUGGGGAGUACGGCCGCAAGGUUAAA
rnacentral:rRNA from 1 species